CCUACGGGAGGCAGCAGUGGGGAAUUUUGGACAAUGGGCGCAAGCCUGAUCCAGCCAUGCCGCGUGUGGGAAGAAGGCCUUCGGGUUGUAAACCACUUUUGUCAGGGAAGAAACGGCUUUUUCUAAUACAGAGAGCUAAUGACGGUACCUGAAGAAUAAGCACCGGCUAACUACGUGCCAGCAGCCGCGGUAAUACGUAGGGUGCAAGCGUUAAUCGGAAUUACUGGGCGUAAAGCGUGCGCAGGCGGCUUUGCAAGACAGAUGUGAAAUCCCCGGGCUCAACCUGGGAACUGCAUUUGUGACUGCAUGGCUAGAGUACGGUAGAGGGGGAUGGAAUUCCGCGUGUAGCAGUGAAAUGCGUAGAUAUGCGGAGGAACACCGAUGGCGAAGGCAAUCCCCUGGACCUGUACUGACGCUCAUGCACGAAAGCGUGGGGAGCAAACAGGAUUAGAUACCCUGGUAGUCCACGCCCUAAACGAUGUCAACUGGUUGUUGGACGGCUUGCUGUUCAGUACGAAGCUAACGCGUGAAGUUGACCGCCUGGGGAGUACGGCCGCAAGGUUGAAACUCGAAAGUGAGUUGGACGNGUGAGAGNGACCGAGGCACGACGGAGGGAGAGGG
rnacentral:rRNA from 1 species